GGUUAAGUUAACAAGGGCGCAUGGUGAAUGCCUUGGCACUAGGAGCCGAUGAAGGACGGGACUAACACCGAUAUGCUUCGGGGAGCUGUACGUAAGCUAUGAUCCGGAGAUUUCCGAAUGGGGCAACCCAGCAGUUUUAAUCAACUGUUACCACUAGAUGAAUUCAUAGUCUAGUUGGAGGUAAACGCUGUGAACUGAAACAUCUCAUUAGCAGCAGGAAUAUAAAGAAAUUUCGAUUCCCUAAGUAGCGGCGAGCGAACGGGGAACAGCCCAAACCAAAGUGCUUGCACUUUGGGGUUGUAGGACUGAACAUUUGAGUUACCAAAGAACUUGAUAGUCGAAGGAUUUGGGAAAAUCCGCCAUAGAUGGUGAUAGCCCAGUAGAUUAAAUCAAAUUCUCUCAGUUCAGGAUCCUGAGUACGGCGGAACACGUGAAAUUCCGUCGGAAUCCGGGAGGACCAUCUCCCAAGGCUAAAUACUACCUAGUGACCGAUAGUGAACCAGUACCGUGAGGGAAAGGUGAAAAGCACCCCGGGAGGGGAGUGAAAUAGUUCCUGAAACCAUGUGCCUACAAUAAGUCAGAGCGCGUUAAUGCGUGAUGGCGUGCCUUUUGUAGAAUGAACCGGCGAGUUAUGAUCCCGUGCAAGGUUAAGACUAAAAAGUCGGAGCCGUAGCGAAAGCGAGUCUGAAAUGGGCGUUUUGAGUACGAGGUUAUAGACCCGAAACCAGGUGACCUAUCCAUGUCCAGGUUGAAGGUGCGGUAAAACGCACUGGAGGACCGAACCCGUGUAAGUUGAAAAUUGCUGGGAUGAGGUGUGGAUAGCGGUGAAAUUCCAAACGAACUUGGAGAUAGCUGGUUCUCUCCGAAAUAGCUUUAGGGCUAGCCUCGGAAUUAGGAUCAUGGAGGUAGAGCACUAUUUGGACUAGGGGCCCGUCUUGGGUUACUGAAUUCAGAUAAACUCCGAAUGCCAUUGAUUCAUAUCCGGGAGUCAGACGAUGAGUGAUAAGAUCCACCGUCGAAAGGGGAACAGCCCAGACCAUCAGUUAAGGUCCCUAAAUGUAUGCUAAGUGGAAAAGGAUGUGGAGUUGCAUAGACAACUAGGAUGUUGGCUCAGAAGCAGCCACCAUUUAAAGAGUGCGUAAUAGCUCACUAGUCGAGUGAUCCUGCGCCGAAAAUGUACCGGGGCUAAGCAUACUACCGAAACCAUGGAUGCGACCAUUAGGUCGCGUGAUAGGAGAGCGUUCUAAGGGCGGUGAAGCAAGAUCGUGAGGACUUGUGGAGCGCUUAGAAGUGAGAAUGCCGGUAUGAGUAGCGAAAGAUAGGUGAGAAUCCUAUCCACCGAAUGACUAAGGUUUCCUGGGGAAGGCUCGUCCUCCCAGGGUUAGUCGGGACCUAAGUCGAGGCCGAGAGGCGUAGACGAUGGAUAACAGGUUGAGAUUCCUGUACUAGUUAAGUGCGUUUGAGCAAUGGAGGGACGCAGGAGGCUAAGAUGUGCAUUCUGUUGGAUUAGAAUGUCCAAGCAGUAAGUCUUGUGAAGAGUCAAAUGCUUUUCACUUUAAGGACAAGCUGUGAUGGGGAGCGAAAUUUAGUAGCGAAGCGUCUGAUGUCACACUGCCGAGAAAAGCUUCUAGUGAGUACUUAACUACCCGUACCGCAAACCGACACAGGUAGUCGAGGAGAGAAUCCUAAGGUGAGCGAGUGAACUCUCGUUAAGGAACUCGGCAAAAUGACCCCGUAACUUCGGGAGAAGGGGUGCUGAUCGCAAGAUCAGCCGCAGUGAAUAGGCCCAGGCGACUGUUUAUCAAAAACACAGGUCUCUGCAAAAUCGUAAGAUGACGUAUAGGGGCUGACGCCUGCCCGGUGCUGGAAGGUUAAAAGGAUGGGUUAGCUUCGGCGAAGCUCAGAAUUGAAGCCCCAGUAAACGGCGGCCGUAACUAUAACGGUCCUAAGGUAGCGAAAUUCCUUGUCGGGUAAGUUCCGACCCGCACGAAAGGCGUAACGAUCUGGGCACUGUCUCAACGAGAGACUCGGUGAAAUUAUAUUGUCCGUGAAGAUGCGGACUACCCGCGACAGGACGGAAAGACCCCAUGGAGCUUUACUGUAGCUUGAUAUUGAGUGUUUGUACAGCUUGUACAGGAUAGGUAGGAGCCAUAGAAACCGGAACGCUAGUUUCGGUGGAGGCGUUGGUGGGAUACUACCCUCGCUGUAUGACCACUCUAACCCGCACCACUAAUCGUGGUGGGAGACAGUGUCAGGUGGGCAGUUUGACUGGGGCGGUCGCCUCCUAAAAAGUAACGGAGGCGCCCAAAGGUUCCCUCAGAAUGGUUGGAAAUCAUUCGCAGAGUGUAAAGGCACAAGGGAGCUUGACUGCGAGACAGACAGGUCGAGCAGGGACGAAAGUCGGGCUUAGUGAUCCGGUGGUACCGUAUGGAAGGGCCAUCGCUCAACGGAUAAAAGCUACCCUGGGGAUAACAGGCUUAUCUCCCCCAAGAGUCCACAUCGACGGGGAGGUUUGGCACCUCGAUGUCGGCUCAUCGCAUCCUGGGGCUGUAGUCGGUCCCAAGGGUUGGGCUGUUCGCCCAUUAAAGCGGUACGCGAGCUGGGUUCAGAACGUCGUGAGACAGUUCGGUCCCUAUCCGUCGCGGGCGUAGGAAAUUUGAGAGGACCUGUCCUUAGUACGAGAGGACCGGGAUGGACAUACCUCUGGUGUACCAGUUGUGCCGCCAGGCGCAUCGCUGGGUAGCUACGUAUGGAUGUGAUAAACGCUGAAAGCAUCUAAGUGUGAAACACACCUCGAGAUGAGAUUUCCCAUUCCUUUAUGGAAGUAAGACCCCUGAAAGAUGAUCAGGUAGAUAGGUUAGAAGUGGUAGUGCGGUGACGCAUGAAGCGGACUAAUACUAAUCGGUCGAGGACUUAACCAA
rnacentral:rRNA from 1 species